UGGGGAAUUUUGGACAAUGGGCGCAUGCCUGAUCCAGCAAUGCCGCGUGCAGGAUGAAGGCCUUCGGGUUGUAAACUGCUUUUGUACGGAACGAAAAAGCUCUCUCUAAUACAGGGGGUGAAUGACGGUACCGUAAGAAUAAGCACCGGCUAACUACGUGCCAGCAGCCGCGGUAAUGCGUAGGGUGCAAGCGUUAAUCGGAAUUACUGGGCGUAAAGCGUGCGCAAGCGGUUUUGUAAGACAGAGGUGAAAUCCCCGGGCUCAACCUGGGAACUGCCUUUGAUACUUUUAUUCUUGAGUUCGGGAGAGAGAGACGGAAUUCCAGGUGUAGUGGUGAAAUACGUAGAUAUCUGGAAGAACACCAGUUGCGAAGGCGGUCUCUUGGUCCGACACUGACGCUGAGGCGCGAAAGCGUGGGGAGCAAAC
rnacentral:rRNA from 1 species